AUUUGACCUCAAAUGAGGUAGGACUA
rnacentral:rRNA from 1 species